AAAAGCUAACAAGGGCACACGGAGGAUGCCUAGGCAACAGCAGCCGAUGAAGGACGUGAUAAGCUGCGAUAAGCCGGGAGGAGAUGCACAUAAUCGUUAAUCCCCGGAUUUCCGAAUGGGAAAACCUGCAUGCCUGGAGGGCAUGCGUGAAAACGGUAAGCCCGCGAACUGAAACAUCUAAGUAGCGGGAGGAAAGGAAAGUAAAAACGAUUCCCUGAGUAGUGGCGAGCGAACGGGGAAAAGCCUAAACCGUGCCAGUGCCAAGCGGACAGCGUUGCUGGCACGGGGUUGUGGGACUUCCAUUAACGGAUUGUCAUAAUGUUUAAGCUGUAUGUAUGUAAGUAGAAUCAGCUGGGAAGCUGAACCAAAGAAGGUGAUAGUCCUGUAGAACAUAAAAUACAUAUAGUGACUGGAAGCACCCGAGUAGCGUCAGGCACGAGGAAUCUGGCGUGAAUCAGCGUGGACCAUAUCACGCAAGGCUAAAUACUGUUGUUGACCGAUAGUGAAGAGUACCGUGAGGGAAAGGUGAAAAGAACCCUGAGCAAGGGAGUGAAAUAGAAUUUGAAACCGUGUGCUUACAAACGGUAGGAGCGCUUUGUGCGUGACUGCGUGGAUUUUGGUUAAUCAUCCUGCGAGUUAUGAUUAGUGGCAAGGUUAAUAAAGUGGAGCCGAAGGGAAACCGAGUCUUAACAGGGCGUUAAGUCGCUAGUCAUAGACGCGAAACCUAGUGAUCUAGGCCUGUCCAGGCUGAAGCUGAGGUAAGACUCAGUGGAGGGCCGAACUCACCGCCGUUGAAAAGUUGGGAGAUGAGGCAGGUCUAGGGGUGAAAAGCCAAUCGAACUAGGAGAUAGCUCGUUCUCUCCGAAAUGCAUUUAGGUGUAGCCUUGACGUUAAGAUAUGUGGGGGUAGAGCUCUGUAUGGUCUAGGGGGCGUACUGCUUACCGAAAUCAAGCAAACUUCGAAUACCAUAUAUUAAUAGUCAGGAGUGAGUCCGCGGAUGACAAGGUCCGCGGACGAGAGGGGAACAGCCCAGACCGCCAGCUAAGGUCCCUAAUUAUGUCUAAGUGGGAAAGGAGGUGGAUAUUCACAGACAACCAGGAGGUUGGCUUAGAAGCAGCCAUGCCUUGAAAGAGUGCGUAACAGCUCACUGGUCGAGAGUAUCUGCGCCGAAGAUGUAACGGGGCUAAGACAUAAACCGAAGGCCGCGGAGGCGUGUCUGCACGCCUGGUAGGAGAGCGUUCUGUAGGCCGUUGAAGGAAUGCCGCAAGGCCGUUCUGGAGGUAUCAGAAGUGAGAAUGCAGGAAUGAGUAGCGAGAAGGCGGGCGAGAAUCCCGCCGGCCGGAAGUCCAAGGUUUCCAGGGGAAGGUUUGUCCGCCCUGGGGAAGUCGGGACCUAAGCAUAAGCAAAAAUGUGAUGGCGAAUGGAAAACAGGUUAAUAUUCCUGUACCGCUGUUAUCGCCCUCGAGAGACGGAGUGACGCAGGAAGGUAUGCGGGAAGGCUGACGGAAUAGCCUUUCUAAGGGCGUAGCAUGGGCAUGCAGGAAAAUCCGCAUGCCUAAAUGUGAGACCUGACGGGUAAGUGCAUCUUGCAUAAGCCGCAGAUCCUACACUGCCGAGAAAAACUUCUAUCGAUGAGAACCAGCGCCCGUACUGUAAACCGACACAGGUGGACAGAGUGAGAAACUUAAGGCCGACAGGAUAACUCUAGCUAAGGAACUCUGCAAAAUAGCCCCGUAACUUCGGGAGAAGGGGUGCCUGACAUACCUGAGAGGAGAAGCGCCUCAAGGGGAAACAGGCCGCAGUGAAGAGUCCCAAGCAACUGUUUACCAAAAACACAGGUCUAUGCUAAGCUGGAAGGCGACGUAUAUGGGCUGACACCUGCCCAGUGCCGGAAGGUUAAGAGGAGGACUGAGAGGUCCGAAUUGAAGCCCCGGUGAACGGCGGCCGUAACUAUAACGGUCCUAAGGUAGCGAAAUUCCUUGUCGGGUAAGUUCCGACCUGCACGAAUGGUGAAAUGAUUUGGGAGCUGUCUUGGCUGGAGACCUGGUGAAGUUGUAAUGCCGGUGAAGAUACCGGCUACCUGCAGUAGGACGGAAAGACCCCGUGGAGCUUUACUGCAGUCUGGCAUUGGGUUUUGGCUGUGUGUGUAUAGGAUAGUUGGGAGACUGUGAAGCUGAGGCGUCAGUUUCAGCCGAGUCGCCGUUGGAAUACCAACCAUAUGCCGUUGAAAUUCUAAUCUGGUAACGGAGACAGUGCUAGAUGGGCAGUUUGACUGGGGCGGUCGCCUCCCAAAGAGUAACGGAGGCGUUCAAAGGUUCCCUCAGGGCUGGAUGGAAAUCAGCCUAGGAGUGCAAACGCAUAAGGGAGCUUGACUGCAAGACUGACGGGUCGAGCAGGCACGAAAGUGGGAGUUAGUGAUCCGGCGGUUCCGUAUGGAAGGAUCGUCGCUCAACGGAUAAAAGCUACCCCGGGGAUAACAGGCUGAUACUUCCCAAGAGUCCAUAUCGACGGAAGUGUUUGGCACCUCGAUGUCGGCUCGUCUCAUCCUGGGGCUGGAGAAGGUCCCAAGGGUUGGGCUGUUCGCCCAUUAAAGAGGCACGCGAGCUGGGUUCAGAACGUCGUGAGACAGUUCGGUCCCUAUCCACUGCAGGCGCCUGAGCACUGAAAAGAUCUGACCUUAGUACGAGAGGACCGGGUUGGACAGACCUCUGAUGUACCAGUUGUCACGCCAGUGGCAUGGCUGGGUAGUCACGUCUGGGACGGAUAACCGCUGAAAGCAUCUAAGCGGGAAGCCGGCUUUGAGAUGAGUGCUCGCAGUAUCCAUGGAGAACACAUGGUUGAUAGGCCAGGGGUGCAAGCGCAGCAAUGCGUUCAGCUGACUGGUACUAAUAUUACAUCUGCUUUUUAGU
rnacentral:rRNA from 1 species